AUGUGGACGGAUGAAGUUCAAGUCAAUGUGCAUUUUGCGGACUUCCACGUGAUCCUUGCCUCUAUAGUUAAUCCAGUCUCUAGUGUUUCUUUUGCUCUUGUUUGUAUAUAUGGUGACCCGUACCAUCGUAACACGAGAGAUAUCGGGGAUCGUAUUGCCUCUUUUGUGUACGAUAACCAAGGCAGCCCUAUCUUAUGUAUGGGAGAUCUUAAUGAUAUACUUUAUGAUGCUGAUAAAAGUUCUCCCUUUGUGAAUCAAUCUCGUGUGUAUGCUUUUCGUCACAUUGUGAAACAUUGUGGUCUGAUUGAUCUAGGAUAUAGUGGACCUGCUUAUACUUGGACAAAUAAAAGGUAUGCUUCUAACCCGACCAUGGAAAGACUUGAUAGAUGUUUGGUUAAUGCUGAAUGGUGCGCGGUUUUUCCCAAUUCUAAUGUUUAUAAUUUGCCUAUUAUUCUUAGUGAUCAUGCUCCUAUUCUCCUUUCUACUGAUGCUCAUAUGCGUAAGCCUAAAAGAAAUUUUAAAUUUGAAAACUGGUGGCUUAUGGAAAGUGAUUUUCAUGAAUAUGCUAAAAGUACUUGGUUUGCUUCUAGGAACAAAGCUUUCCACAAUAGGACAACUAACCUUGCAGGAGCUUUAAGAAUAUGGUGUAGAAGGAAGAAGCCAAUUCAACAAGAUCUCGAUACUUUAGGUGAGCAAAUAAAAAAUAUCCAAAUGAAACCUCUACAGGUACAGGACCACUCUCUAGAAGCCUCCCUGAUUUCUAAGUAUGAGCAGAACAUGACUUGA
rnacentral:rRNA from 1 species